rnacentral:lncRNA from 1 species
GAUGAUCGAAGACACCAAAGGCAAUGGCGGUCCUCUUAGCUAUAGGGUCGUUAAGUUGAUAACCCUUGAUCCCAACACACGUCCUUCCAUUCCACUUCCUUUCGUUAAAACUGAUUACAAUGGAUCAAGACUAGAGCAUUACAAAGGCCGUGAGUUUCGUUCACCUAGCAAAAGAUUCUGCAUCUAUGGAGUUGUUUAUGAUUUUUCAUAAGGCAGACUAUGCAUACAAGCCUAAACAAGAAAUGAGUUCACUAACCGAUCCUUGCUGGCAUAAGAUCAUGCUUGGAAAGACCUUUCGUUACACUGAGCCACCUAAGACUAAAGGAUUUCGAGUGUUCAAACUGGAGUGUGAUAUUGAUGGUGGUCCACAAUGGAUGGAGGUUGUUGAACUUGGUGAUCGGGUAUUAUUUAUGAGCAACCACCAUUCUGCCGUUAUGUCGUACCCCCAUGGUCAGAAGGUUGAAAGAAACAGUAUUUAUUUUGCCUUUGAUUACGCAUGUUACGAAUCAAUCAAAUGUGACUUUGGAGUAUUUUCCUUCACAAAUAAGAGUAUUAGGCAUUUUAGUAGCUCCAAGAGUCGUUCUUCGCACAUGUUGCAUACUGCACCUUUAUGGUUUGUACCCAAUCUUUGAUAGGUUAGUUUAAUUAAAUUUUGUUUUGUUUCCUUUUUUCAGUUGGAAAGAUUUGCUUUUUUAUUUGUAUUUUUAUGAAAAUUGUUUACUUCUCUUACUUAUAUGAACUUAAUACAUAUAUAAAUCAUGUGAUUAUGUUUAUUUAAUACAAUCACUACAAUUAAUCAUUCAUAAAAGGAACAUAACUACAUUGAGAUCCAAUUAUAUAAAAUCAUAUGGAGUCUUGAUGCAAUAACUUUGUAUAUUGUUGUAAGACGUCAAUAUAAUGAUAAUCAUAUUUCAUAUAGUCCAUUUUUCUAACAAAGACAUAUCAAACACUGCAAGAAAUAACGAUCCAAUAUCCCCACUCGCCCUCACUCGCAGAUGCCUCUAUACCCUCUUUCCAGAUAUGCCCCGUUUUGGUAUUUUUUUUUUCUUUCCAAUUUUUGUAAUAGGCUUGAUGUUGUGCACCGUUGCGGACCGGUCACAUUGGCAACAUGUUUUGUUUUUGUAUUUUCCUUUUUUCUUAGUCCAAUUGGUUCAAAGUUUUUCUUUUUCUUUUUCGUGGUAUUGGCUAUUAGGGUUUCGGUUGAUCUUUUUUCCACCAAUAUACCCGAUGGCUACACGUUUUUUUGUUUGUCCAAAGGGGAAUGACAAAGAUGACGGUCUCGGGUGCCGAUUCAAUGCCGCUUCAUACGCCUUUUUUUUUUUUUUUUUUCCUUUUUUUCCGGAAUUGCUUUCAAUAACAACGGCAAGCCUGCUCCAACAAUUUUGGUCUAGCAGUAGGUGGCUGCUUCGUUGUUUUGGUUUGUACUGUGGGAGAGCAAGGUGCCGGGCAAAUGUGAGGGAGAAGCCGGUGUUUGGUUUGCAGGAAUAGUAGAUAUGUUGGUGUUUGGUUAGAGAGUUAAGAAUGAUUAAAACUUUAAUGAUUAAAUUAAUUUAAUGUUGUUUAAUAUAUAUAUCGCUCUUAAGAUUUUUUGUGUUUUAACAAAACUCCCUAGGUUUUAAAAAGAUAAAUUUUAUUUGAGCUUAAAUAACUUCGUAUGAUUUAAAACUUUAAAUAUGAAUUAUUUUUCUUAAUUAUUUCAUAAUUAUCAUCAAGUACAGAUUGGAAUUAACAACAAAACUUAAAUUUAUGAAUAAGUAAUCAAACUUACACCACUCAAUUUUUAUCAUACGUUUUCUAGUGUGUUAAUAUUGCCUGCAAAAAUAUGUUUAUUUCGACUUGAAUGGCUGAUCUUAUGAUAUCUGUUUAUGAAAAGGAGUCUGGAGCGUUCAAGUUCAAAUCUCUCGUUUCAAAAGUUAAGUGAAUUUAGGACAAAUCUAAAUAUGUUAUUUCAACUUUCAUAAUCGAUCUUAUGAUUCUUGAACGAAACAAAUAAAACGUCCACCUGCACAAUUGUGAAAGUUGAACCUGUAAUGCGCCAACAGGUAAAUAAAAGUUGUGGCCCUCCGCAGUCAGUCAGUCAUAGCUUGUCACAUCUUUCAUAAGUUCAUAGGUUCAACUGGCGUUUCCAAAUAAAAGAUGUGGAAAGAAAGAAUUUUGUUAUGGUCAGAAUCCAAAUAAAGGUUUUACAUAUAAUAUUACCAUUCUCCGUGUCAAACGAUUAUCACUUACUAAUUAUCUCCAAUUCUUGAAGUUUCAACCAUAAAUAGCUAAUGGUGGAUAUGACAUUCGGUUUGUGAUAAAGAUAAAUUAUUAUUUCAGGGUAGACUGGAGUUCAGCUCAUUUGAUAUCUUAAUCAUUUAAAUAAUAUGAUUCAACUAGGGGUCCUGGGAUUUUAAUUUUCGACAAUAAAAUGUUUGAAUCUCUACACAAAAAUUUCGAAUCUGAUUGUUUUUUCAAAAAGUUGAAAUGAAAAUCUGAAUGGAUUUAGAGAUUCUGAUAACUAGGAAUUUCCGAUAUAAUUUUUUUUUCAAAGUGUUCACCUAACUUAUGUUGAUACCAAAAUGUUUUGAUUUCUGAUAUUUUUCUAUUGAAUUAUAAAAUGUGUUGUCAACUCUGUAUUUUAGUUUUAGAUAUAGUUUGUUCAUUGAUUUUUAUAUUAAUCAUACUUGUAAAAUAUGUUGUUUCGACUUGCAUGACAAGUCUUAUGAUAUUUGUUUAUGCAAAGAAGGCUUGAACGUUCGAGUUCAAAUUUCUCUUUCGACAAGUUAAGUGAAUUUAGAGUAUAUCCAAAUAUGUUAUUUCAACUUGCAUGACUGGUCUUAUGAUUCUUGUACGACACAUGAACAAAAACAGUAACAUUUUGCGUAAAAUGUAUAUAAGUGACCGGGUUUAAAAAUUUAGCUUCUCUACAUACUUGCAUGACUACAUGGACAAAAACGGUAAUAGUAUCCAUAAAAUGUAUAAAGUUAAUUGCAAAAGGAAUGCAAGGGCGGGAUUAAGUUUUAGGUUGAGGAGGUUUUGCACCAGUAUACAGUUGCGGUCACGAUGACUACAUGUUUUUUGAUUUUCUGUUUUCCUUUUUUAUUUGUCCAAAGGAAUCUUUAGUACCCAUUUAUGACAGCUGCCACGUUUGAAGUCCUAUAUUUACAGCUACAGUCACUCACUAGUCACCCGCUCACUCACUCUCACUCUCUCACUCUCCCUCCCUCCCUUCUCUCUCUUACUCACUCCCUCUAUCUCCUUCCUCUCUCCCUUUUCUCUGUAAACUCCCUCUCUCUCCUUCUUCUUUCUCCCUCUUCUCUGUUCUACCGUUCUGAAAUGGAACAUUUGGCUAUCAUUAUACCUUCGUUUUACGGAGGUAUUUUCCUCCUGUUUGUGCUCUAUGCCUGCAUUGUUUACUUAGUAAAACCUGCAGAGGAGGAAAAUGACGCUCAGGGACAACCUCCGGAGGGGGUGGAUGUUGCUCAGCCGCCUGCUCAGCCGGGACAACCUCCGGAGGGGGGUAAUGAUGCUCAGGGACAACCUCUGGAGGAAAUGAAUGUUGCUCAGCCACCUGUUCAGCCGGGACAACCUCCGGAGGGGGGGAAUGUUGCUCAGCCCCCUGCACAGCCGGGACAACCCCGGAGGGGGGGAAUGUUGCUCAGCCCCCUGCACAGCCGGGACAACCUCCGGAGGGGGGAAUGUUGCCUCUGCCCCCUGCUCAGCCGGGACAACCUCUGGAGGGAGAAAUGCUGCUCAGCCAGGACAACCUACGGAGGGGAAUGCGACUCAGCAUGAACCAGAAAUAUUUUUCAGCAUGGCGACGGUAUUGUUUAACCUGUUUCAAGCAUUUUUUAUCAUCCCCUCUAUUAAGUUCAUUCCACCCGUGUCAAAAGUGUUGAAAUCGGACAGCUAUCUCAUUUUUGCCCUUCCAUUCAUGCUUUUGGAUGCAUUUUUUCUCUUUGUUAUCUAUAAGCAAAGAGAAAAUAUUACCCCGAGAGUAGUGGCCAUCAUAGAAAUUGGUUAUGUGGGGGAAAUAAUAGAGUUAGGUUUAUGGGCUUUGGGACUUUAUAUACAGAAUAUAAUUGACCCGAGUGCAUCAUAUGCCUUUUCACCUUAUUGAAUUGUUCCUAUUUCUUAAUUUCUUUCGUUUUAUUCCUAAGACAUCCUAGAGCCCCUAUCCUUUCUAGAUUUUUCCAUAGGAAUAAAUGGUGUCAUUUUAGUUUAUUUUAUAAAACUAAUUGACGGGGGAACAAAAUUAAAGGGUUACGAAUACGGGUUGUUUAGUCUAUCUAUUACAACCUGCGUUGGUGUGCUUUUGUUCAAGAGCCAUCACGACAGUGUAAUAGCCGGGAUCGAGAAUCCGAGGACUAUAUUUUCAAUUUUAGGUAAAUGUAUUUUCAGACGUAUUAGGCGAUGCUUAGAAUAUUGCUGGAAUAGGUGGAUACUUCUUAAAAAUUGGGUGACAAGUAACUUCCCUGUCGCUUGGAAUUGGGUUGUCACUAAGGGGAAAUCCUGUUGGGCUGCUGUUAAGAAUUGGGCUGUCACUAAGGGGAAUGCGUGUGGGGCUGCUGUUAAGAAUUGGGCUGUCACUGAGGGGAAAGCGUGUGGGGCUGCUGUUGGGAAUUGGGCUGUCACUCGGUGGAAUGCUAUCAUGCAGAGGGCACCACAGGGGGCCGACAACGCUUAAUUAAAUUUAGUUUGUUAGUUUUAGUUAAUGUAAAAGGGUGCAGGACACUCUUUUUUUCAUUUGACCGAUUUGAAAAUUUCGGCAAAGAUUUUCGGUUGUAAUUUUUAGUUUUAUUCAUGUAUUAAGCCUUAUUAUCAAUAUGAAUGAAUUUUUAGUUUUAUUAAUGUAUUAAGCCUUAGUAAGCUUAGCUGGCAUUUUGAUGCUGUCAUGGUUUUAUGCUCAAUGUUUGUAGUCGAAAAUUGAACCCAACACACGUCCUUCCUUUUUUCCACUUUCUUUCGUUAAAAUUGAUUAUAAUGGAAGAAGAGUAGAGCAUUACAAUGGCCGUGAUUUCGUUCACCUAGCAAAAGAUUCUGCAUCCAUGGAGUUGUUUAUGAUUUUUCUUAAGGCAGACUAUGCAUACAAGCCUAAACAAGAAACGUGUUUAAUGUCCGAUGCUUGGCAUAAGGUCAUGCUUGGAAAGACCUUUCAUUACACUGAGCCACCUAAGACUAAAGGAUUUCGAGUGUUCAAACUGGAGUGUGAUAUUGAUGGUGGUCCACAAUGGAUGGAGGUUGUUGAACUUGGUGAUCGGGUAUUAUUU